AAAGGAAUUGACGGGGGCCCGCACAAGCGGCGGAGCAUGCGGAUUAAUUCGAUGCAACGCGAAGAACCUUACCAAGGCUUGACAUACACCGGACACGCUUGGAAACAGGUGCUCCCUUUGGGGCUGGUGUACAGGUGGUGCAUGGUUGUCGUCAGCUCGUGUCGUGAGAUGUUGGGUUAAGUCCCGCAACGAGCGCAACCCUCGUUCUAUGUUGCCAGCACGUGAUGGUGGGAACUCAUAGGAGACUGCCGGGGUCAACUCGGAGGAAGGUGGGGAUGACGUCAAAUCAUCAUGCCCUUUAUGUCUUGGGCUUCACGCAUGCUACAAUGGCCGGUACAGAGAGAGGCGAGCCUGUGAGGGUGAGCGAAUCCCUUAAAGCCGGUCUCAGUUCGGAUCGUAGUCUGCAAUUCGACUACGUGAAGUCGGAGUCGCUAGUAAUCGCAGAUCAGCAACGCUGCGGUGAAUACGUUCCCGGGCCUUGUACACACCGCCCGU
rnacentral:rRNA from 1 species